rnacentral:rRNA from 1 species
UGAUACCGGUUCUCGUUAGAUCACCAGGAGGUUAAGCAUCAUUGGGCGGGUCAGUACUUGGGUGGGUGACCACCUGGGAACACUGCGUGCCGUU